CAUCUACUUUCUCCAUCCGGAACUACUUGUUAUAUGAAUGGAUGUAUCUAUAUAUUUUUUAGUUUUAAAUACAUUCAUUUUUUUUCAUUUUAGUAACAAUUAAUCCCGGGCGAAGGGAGUAUGUU
rnacentral:pre_miRNA from 1 species